CAGCAGCCGCGGGAAUACGUAGGUGGCGAGCGUUGUCCGGAUUUAUUGGGCGUAAAGGGAGUGUAGGCGGUCUUUUAAGUCUGAUGUGAAAGCCCACGGCUCAACCGUGGAGGGUCAUUGGAAACUGGGAGACUUGAGUGCAGAAGAGGAGAGCGGAAUUCCAUGUGUAGCGGUGAAAUGCGUAGAUAUUGGGAGGAAUACCGGUGGCGAAGGCGACCUUCUGGACUAAAACUGACGCUGAGGCACGAAAGUGUGGGUAGCAAACAGGAUUAGAUACCCGCGUAGUCCCUGUCUCUUAUAC
rnacentral:rRNA from 1 species